rnacentral:rRNA from 1 species
AUUGAACGCUGGCGGCAGGCCUAACACAUGCAAGUCGAGCGAGCGGCGUACGGGUGAGUCUUGUAUGGGGACUGCCCGAUCGAGGGGGAUAACUCCUGGAAACGGUGGCUAAUACCGCAUACUGUCGUAUAACCCAUGUGGGAUUAGCUAGUAGGUAAGGUAAUGGCUUACCUAGGCGACGAUCCCUAGCUGGUCUGAGAGGAUGAUCAGCCACACUGCGACUGAGAGACGGCCCUGACUCCUACGGAGGCAGCAGUGUGGAAUAUUGCACGAAGGGCGCAAGCCUGAUGCAGCCAUGCCGCGUGUAUUAAGAAGGACCUAGAGUUAUAAGGUACUUUCAGACGGGAGGCGUUACCGAGAGAAGAAGAACCGGCUAACUCCGUGCCAGCCGCCGCGGUAAUUC